GCUCCGCAAAUUUGAAGGACGAAUUUAUGUACCGUGCCGGCUUUCCGCCACCCACCGUCAUUGGGAGGUGACAUUGCAUUGCAAAUGGUGAGCAGCUGGACAGUACAUUUUUUUGUCGAGUCAACAAAAUACAUUUUGUGAAAUGACCUUCGGUUGCAAAAUGAUUACUGCAUAUGCUUGGCCCGGUUUGGCACAUCGCGAAGCUCGUGAUACAUUCCCAUCAGACAAAUUGUCCCUCUGGGAAUGUAAUACUGCGAAGCAUACGCAUCAUAACAUUACCUAGGAGGAAGAAUCAAACCCAGCUAGACUACAAACAAGUUAAAUUAUUUGGUCAUCUUCAAAUCAUGAUGAUAUUUGAAAAAAAUAUAAACUCUUAUCUUAACGGAGGGAGACAGUCUCAAGACACUUUUCGAAGAGGUGCUAGACUGCCAAACAGAUAAAAGAAUUACAGAGUGAUAAGUGAUGAAACCAACAAUAUUGUAGGUCUAUUUUGUGAAUAAGAAGCAAACACCUUUAAAACGUGAAACGUGGAAAGGAAUUGUGUGGUGAAUGAAUCGGGAAAAUAGCACGAAACAAAAAGGAACAAGUUGUUCUGCACCCCAAAAAGAAUGCUGAACAAUCAUUUAAUAAAACCUCCAACUCCGAGAGGAUUUAGAGAUUUUACAAAAGCGACGCCAUUCUGCAUUCCCGCAAGAAUGCAGAACGAUUCGCAACGUGUAUGAGCAGAAGUAAAUUCGGCACACCAUAAGGGAUGCCAAACAACAAUCUACUAAAACCUUUUGAGGUAGAAACAUAAAGGAUUCAUUUACUCCAGGAAAAACGAUGAGCCCCGCUGACUAUAGCUCCUUACCACAUUGGGUGAGAAACGAUAGAAUAUCCUUUAAAUUUAGCUCCACGUACACAAAUUCAACCAUACUUGGAGAACCAGAAACCCGAAUAGGUAGUUGCGUCAAUGCGGGACAGUUAAAUAUAAGAUGAUAUGAAGUACUGUAAUCGGAUUCACACAAAUAAUAUUCAGCACACUGAAUAAUAGCCAUGUGCUAGUUGAGUUUGCAAUGUCCAGUCAAAGCUCUGACCAGAAUACACUAAGGUCUCUUUUUACACGGGGGUUACGUAUUAGAACGUACAAAUAGAGCUUGCGAGCAAGUUCUUUUCAAUUCCGAAGGUGCGAUGUGCAGUAAACAUUAACGAUCUUAAUAGUCAUUUUCAACUAAACUGAGGGGGAAGACAUGGAUAUUGGAUGAAGAUCUAUGCACGCAGCGACAGAAUUAAAGAAAAAGAGGAGAUGAAUACGGAUCAAAUUAAAAAAGGUAUUACUAUGUGUCAUGUUGAAGCAACUUAUUUCAUCGCCGUAAAUCAUAAUACUUCUAUAUCAUUCAAAUGGGUAUAAAAUACUGUACUGCUCGAUACGAUGAAUAAUUGAAGAGAUUAGUAAAUCCGACUUCAACGCUGCGAAAUUCUCGAUGAUAUCAAUGACGAUGAUGAUAUCAUAUACCACAACUGAGCGGAAGAGACGUUGUCGUGUAGUUUACGACGGGGAUUCAAGAUCUGAAGACUGCUUAAUCAUUUUAUCGAACGACAGUCAAUACUCCUGUGAAUUGUUGAAUGAAUGAUUUAAGUUAACUUUCAAACUUUAAAUUAGCUCUCAUAAUUGUUUUCUUACAGACAACAUGUUCCCUUUUUUUAAAUUUUUCUCAAAAAACAAAUGACAGUGCAUUUUUAACUCUCAUCAGAAACCGUGUUAAUUGCGAAUACCGCGUAAAUGUAAACCGUGUUAAUUUAAGAAUCCGUGUAGAAAAAAGCCGCGUAUAAAAAACCGUGCGAGAGGAAACCGUGUAAAAAGAGACCUUAGUGUACUGCAAUGUUGCUUGGAAAAAUACAGUAGACAUUUUGCUAUUCUCAAAUUCAAAUCUGGUAAAACUGCUGUUGUUAGAAAGCAAGUUUGCAAGCUCCGCCAAUAGCUGGCAUGUUUAGAUGUAGCCCAAGAACGAAUCUUGUGCUUUAUCCAAUUGUCAGUGGUAAAGCUGGUUCAGGACCAACGAAGUCAUUCGUUCCACCAGCUCUAGCCAGGAAUCAGUAAUCAGAGCCAAGGUAGCCAACUUAUCAGCCUAUUCAUUUCCAGUAAUACCAAAAUGGUCGGAUACUUACAAAAAGUAAGCAGUAUUUGAAAUGCUGAGGUCUUCAACUAGAUUCGAUCGUAAAUCAUUCGUCCUUCAAAGCUGCCGGCAAAAUUCGUUUCCCACAGAUUCUCUGUUGAAUGAGACUGCUCUAAGGAGUGUAACGAAAUUAAGCUAUCCACAUACUUUUGUGUUAUACGCAAGUAUUUGUGAUGGUUUUUUAUGCUCAGAUCGCAGCAUGCUGUGUGUUUGGCUGUCAGCUUUCGAUUCUUUACUUGUUUGUGCGGUUGAAAUUCUGCGUUUUCAAAAUGUCGCGUAUUGAAAAGGAAGUGGAAAUUAAAGUUCUGGGCACAUGGCUGAGUGAGAAGGGUAUUACUAUGCGAAAAUUGGCGAAGCGGUUUGAAAUUCAUCAUGCCAUUGUUAGAAACAUAAUUAAUAAGUUUGGGAAACAUUAUUCUUAGGAUGAGCUACCAGGAAGAGGCAGAAAACCCGGUUCUUCCAACCCGAAACUGGACAAGAAAGUUGUAUCUCUAAUCAUGAAGAACAAAUCAAUGUCAAUACGUGAUUUUGCCAAAACAGCAAGAACGAGUGUCGGAAUGGUCCAGCGUAUCAAGAGACGAAAUCACCUAAAGACCUACAAGAAGCAGAAAAUCUCGGAACAAAGUGUAAAACAGAAGAAGCAAGCAGCAACAAGGGCUCGGAAAUUGUAUUCGCGUCUUUUGCAGUGUCCGGAUGCAUGCGUUUUGAUGGACGAUGAGACUUAUGUAAAAGAGGACUCAAAAAAAAAACCCUUCCAGGUCCACAAUACUUUACUGUCAUCGUUGGGGAAAAUGUGAGCGAUGCGGACAGGUCGAUUCAAGGGGAGAAACUCGGUCGAAAGGUACUGGUAUGGCAAGCAAUAUGCUCCUAUGGUUUGAAGUCAACCAUUUUUACACUACCGGAACUAUAAAUGCAGAAUUCUAUCGAUCUGAGUAUUUCCAGAAGAGAUUGCUGCCUUUAUAUAAGAAGCAUAGUACACCUCCACUGUUUUGGCUGGAUUUGGCGUCGGCUCACUAUGUCAAAACCACUCUCAUUUGGCUUGUGGAAAAAGGUAUACAAGUUUA